rnacentral:rRNA from 1 species
AAAAGGUGGCUAUGCUACCGCUUUCGGAUGGGCCCGCGGCGCAUUAGCUAGUUGGUGGGGUAAAGGCUUACCAAGGCAAUGAUGCGUAGCCGAACUGAGAGGUUGAUCGGCCACAUUGGGACUGAGACACGGCCCAAACUCCUACGGGAGGCAGCAGUAGGGAAUCUUCCACAAUGGGCGAAAGCCUGAUGGAGCAACGCCGCGUGGGUGAAGAAGGUCUUCGGAUCGUAAAACCCUGUUGUUAGAGAAGAAAGUGCGUGAGAGUAACUGUUCACGUUUCGACGGUAUCUAACCAGAAAGCCACGGCUAACUACGUGCCAGCAGCCGCGGUAAUACGUAGGUGGCAAGCGUUAUCCGGAUUUAUUGGGCGUAAAGGGAACGCAGGCGGUCUUUUAAGUCUGAUGUGAAAGCCUUCGGCUUAACCGGAGUAGUGCAUUGGAAACUGGGAGACUUGAGUGCAGAAGAGGAGAGUGGAACUCCAUGUGUAGCGGUGAAAUGCGUAGAUAUAUGGAAGAACACCAGUGGCGAAAGCGGCUCUCUGGUCUGUAACUGACGCUGAGGUUCGAAAGCGUGGGUAGCAAACAGGAUUAGAUACCCUGGUAGUCCACGCCGUAAACGAUGAGUGCUAAGUGUUGGAGAGUUUCCGCCCUUCA